rnacentral:rRNA from 1 species
CGGAGGCAGCAGUAAGGAAUCUUCCGCAAUGGACGCAAGUCUGACGGAGCAACGCCGCGUGGGUGAGGAAGGCCUUCGGGUCGUAAAGCUCUGUUGCCAGGGAAGAACGGGUAGGGGAGUAACUGCCCUUGCCAUGACGGUACCUGAGAAGAAAGCCCCGGCUAACUACGUGCCAGCAGCCGCGGUAAUACGUAGGGGGCAAGCGUUGUCCGGAAUUAUUGGGCGUAAAGCGCGCGCAGGCGGCUUUGUAAGUCUUGUGUUUAAGUUCGGGGCUUAACCCCGUAUCGCAUGGGAAACUGCAAGGCUUGAGUGCAGAAGAGGAAAGUGGAAUUCCACGUGUAGCGGUGAAAUGCGUAGAGAUGUGGAGGAACACCAGUGGCGAAGGCGACUUUCUGGGCUGUAACUGACGCUGAGGCGCGAAAGCGUGGGGAGCAAACAGGCUUAGAUACCCCGGUAGU